GUGCAACAGUCGCGAAACCUCCGCAAUACACGAAAGUGUGACGGGGCCAUCCCGAGUGCCGUCCGCUGAGGACGGCUUUUCCCCAGUGUACACAGCUGGGGGAAUAAGGAGAGGGCAAGCCUGGUGUCAGCCGCCGCGGUAAUACCAGCUCUCCGAGUGGUGGGGACGCUUAUUGGGCCAAAGCAUCCGUAGCCGGCUGGGCAAGUCCUCCGUUAAAUCCAACGAUUCAAUCGUUGGGCUGCGGGGGAUACUGUCCAGCUUGGGGGCGGGAGAGGCCGACGGUAUUCCCGGGGUAGGGGUGAAAUCCUAUAAUCCCGGGAGGACCACCAGUGGCGAAGGCUGUCGGCUAGAACGCGCCCGACGGUGAGGGAUGAAAGCUGGGGGAGCGAACCGGAUUAGAUACCCGGUAGU
rnacentral:rRNA from 1 species